GAUUUCUGGUAUGGCGCGCUUGGCCCGCCAGGGUUACCUGGUUGUGUGCUGGUGCGCGCCUGCCAUCCUUCUGCAUAUCAGUUCUAUCCUUUACUGGUGUGAACUGGUGUGCAGAUCUUUUACUUUGAAAAAAUUAGAGUGUUUCAAGCAGGCUUUAUGCUAUGAAUACAUUAGCAUGGAAUAAUAAUUUAGGACUUCGGUUCUAUUUUGUUGGUUUCUAGGACUGAAGUAAUGAUUGAUAGGGAUAGUUGGGGGUGCUAGUAUUCAGCGGCCAGAGGUGAAAUUCUCGGAUUCGCUGAAGACUAACUUAUGCGAAAGCAUU
rnacentral:rRNA from 1 species